UUUUCGAUGAUGUAGCUUUCGAAUCGACGAUCGGUUUCAUUAGACUUGAUCUAGUGUAUUUGAACUAUAUAGAAAAUAAAAUUUGUGAUUUUUUGAUAUCAUUUACCUAGUGAUCGAAAGGACUCAAAAUCAAUGGUUGAAAAUAAAAAUCUCACGAAAAGUUGUGAUGUAGUACUAAAAUUGUCGAUCAGAGGUAUUGAUCUUGUUGUAGAUAGUAUAAAGAAUUCUCUAUUAAAAUUUCAUCUAAUUUGAAUAUUUCUACACCAUUAAACUUGCAAAAGGUAUACAUUAACCAUUAAAAAUUAUUGAUU
rnacentral:lncRNA from 1 species